GUGGUCUCCAACCCACUCCUCAUGGACUACCAACAGUCUAGGUUUUGUCAGUAUCUCCAUUGAAAUAAAACAAGGAAAUUCAUAAAUCAUAGACUGUUGGUGGUCCUUAAGGACUGGGUUGGAGACCA